rnacentral:rRNA from 1 species
CAAUAGCGUAUAUUAAAGUUGUUGCGGUUAAAACGCUCGUAGUUGGAUUUCUGUUGAGGGCAGCCGGUCCGCACUUCGUGCGUGUAUCUGGUUUGACCUCGGCAUCCUCUCAAAAUACGUUUCUGCGCUUGAUUGCGUGGAGCGGAGUUUGAGACUUUUACUUUGAGGAAAUUAGAGUGUUCACGGCAGGCAAUCGCCUUGAAUAUAUUAGCAUGGAAUAAUAAUAUAGGAUCUUGGUUCUAUUUUGUUGGUUUCUAGAGCUAAGAUAAUGAUUAAUAGGGACAAUUGGGGGCAUUCGUAUUAACGCGUCAGAGGUGGAAUUCUUGGAUUGCGUUACGACGAACUACUGCGAAAGCAUUUGCCAAGGAUGUUUUCAUUAA